GGGAGACGUACCGUGCACGGUGGAAAAUAGAAAAAAUCUGGUGGGCGACCCUGGUUGCGCCAUCCUCUGCGGAACAGCUGUUGGAUCUCGCUGGGCUGCUGGGUUGCCGGUGCUGAUGUUGUGAGGGGCUGCCGGUGAGACAGGCGACGUGGUCGCGAUGUCAUCGCGGGCGGCGAAGAAGAGCAGCAGCAGGGCCAUCACCACCCCGAGGCACCUGUGCGGAUUCGGCCGUGGGGUGGCUCGGCAUUAAUUGGCCGGGCUCAGGCGAGACGGCCAUGGCGGCAACCUUCGCCCCCUCCACAAACCCGUCACUGUCACUCCCCUUCCCGCGGGUUUCAGGUCUUAAGGCAAAUCCUCCUCGCCGCUGCCACUCCUCCAAGCCAUCGUAGUCUGUAACAGGGAAAUAGGUGGAUCAACAUUAAAGCAUAACAAUUAGGGAAGUUGUACAUUGCAUCACUCUUCCUUUUCGCUAUAGUUACACCGAUGCCGCCUGCUGAUGUUUUUUUUUGUAAAUAGUCUCCGAUAAGGAAGAGAUAUUCUGAUGACAUGCUUAUAGGCUUUUGAUUGAAGAAUGGAGAAGAGGAUUAUAAAUCCUGGCCUGCAAUGAAAGCUUAGGAGUGUAUCAGUUAAAGCAAAAUUGGCAAGUUAAGGGGAGAGGAAUAUCUUGAUGAUGGCAGUAAGAUAGUGUGAUUGUGUAUGUCCUCCAUUUUGGUAUUUUGUCCUUCAAAUAAAUGAUGGAUUGAUUGAUUGAUUUAUUGUAGUCUAUUAUUGUCUCAUGAU